GCAAUACAGCAAGACUGAAGACAACCGCCGCGUGACCAACAGAAGUGGCGGCGGCGCACACGUGUGGACGGCGACGACCGAUUGGCGAUUACAAAAAAAUUGAAAAUAACAAUAAACACAAUGCGUUCGUCUCAUACUUUGAUACUUUAUAUAUACUAUAUACACACCUAUACACUUUUAUUGUUAUAUUAUAGACUAUAGUGUGAAUAUAUUUAAAUGUAUAAUAUGUAUAAUUCAUAAAUUAUUAUGUAGAUCGUUAUCAUUUAUCGUCAUAAUACGUGGAUUUCUACUAUUCCAUUGUAUUCCCAGGGAUACGGAUCGGCGGCGGCCGGAUGCGUAUUUUUACACGCGCACGCGUUUGUACGUUUCCGGGUUUAUUUUUGUGUACAUAUUCGAGACGGCUCCGCCGCCGCCUCUAUUAUUAUAACGACAAUAAAAUAAUAAUAAUAAUUACAAACGUAAAUUGUUUUAUCUCCAAUAUUGUCGAAGGACCGCGUUGGUAUUAUAUUACCCGGCGAUCACUAUUAUAUUACUAUAAUGAAAUAUAAUAUUAUUAUCGUGCCGCAGACGUAAUUCUACGUCAGGUUUAUUUUUAUCGCUGCUCCGACAGGUGGUGGCCGAUUGAUAAAAUAUGAAAGACGCACGAGUAUGCGAUAUUGAUAUCGAUUUCCGAGACGCGAAAACUUGUUCGGGACCAUAGAUAAUAAAGAUCUUUAUUAUCUAUGCUCGGGACAAGUUUAAGUUUUUAAAACUGUGUACCACGAUAAUUUAUACAGCCACGGUAAUCUUUUACAAUCAUGAAAAAUAAAAUAUGGAAUAUUAUGGAAGACGUAUAUGGUAUAUCUACAUAUUACAUGCAUAAAUUCGGUUUUUUACUGCGGAAAAGCCGUGCUUUUACAAGAUUAUGCACAAUGUAAUCAGUCGUUGUGCAACACUCAUGUAUCAAUGUAUCAUGGAGUAUUGUUUUUGUAUUGUGUUUGGUUCAAGGAUUUUCUCAACUAAUAGGGGCUGGAUUUGAUGGACCUAAUAGAACUAAAAAACGACAAAAAAAGAACCGCUCAAAUGAUUUAGAAUUUUGGAAGAGGUCACUUUUUAUUCCGUACUUGGAUUUUUUCAUAUCCUCGUUAUAGCACGCAGACUUUAAGAUGAAAAGAUCCAAAGCGACUUGUAUACUGAUUUAAAAUACAAAAUUUGUACCUAAUGUA